rnacentral:rRNA from 1 species
AUACGGAGGGUGCGAGCGUUACUCGGAAUCACUGGGCGUAAAGCGCGCGCAGGCGGGCUGAUAAGUUGGAUGUGAAAGCCUACGGCUCAACCGUAGAACUGCAUCCAAAACUGUCAGUCUAGAGUGUGGGAGAGGAAGAUGGAAUUAGUUGUGUAGGGGUAAAAUCCGUAGAGAUAACUAGGAAUACCAAAAGCGAAGGCAAUCUUCUGGAACACUACUGACGCUGAGGCGCGAAGGCGUGGGGAGCAAACAGGAUUAGAAACCCGUGUAGUCC